rnacentral:rRNA from 1 species
GACGAACGCUGGCGGCGUGCUUAACACAUGCAAGUCGAACGGUGAAGCGCCUUCCUUUUUGGUGGGUGUGGAUGAGUGGCGAACGGGUGAGUAACACGUGAGUAACCUGCCCCCUUCUCCUGGAUAACCGCAUGAAAGUGUGGCUAAUGCGGGAUAUUCUGGGUCUGUCGCAUGAUGGGUCUGGGAAAGAUAUUGUUUCGGUGGGGGAUGGGCUCGCGGCCUAUCAGCUUGUUGGUGGGGUGAUGGCCUACCAAGGCGGUGACGGGUAGCCGGCCUGAGAGGGUGGACGGUCACACUGGGACUGAGACACGGCCCAGACUCCUACGGGAGGCAGCAGUGGGGAAUAUUGCACAAUGGGCGCAAGCCUGAUGCAGCGACGCCGCGUGAGGGAUGGAGGCCUUCGGGUUGUGAACCUCUUUCGCCAGUGAAGCAGGCCUGCCUCGUUUGUGGGUGGGUUGACGGUAGCUGGAUAAGAAGCGCCGGCUAACUACGUG